GUGAAAACUGCAGGCUCCGAGCUGGGUGCAGCAACCGGAGGCGGCGGCGCGUCUGGAGGAGGCUGCAGCAGCGGAAGACCCCAGUCCAGAUCCAGGACUGAGAUCCCAGAACCAUGAACCUGGUCAUCAGCAUCGCUCUCCUGCUAACAGGUACCCGGCAUGGGGCAGGACUGGGGCUCCAGGCACUCUGGCUUCCUUCCCUCCAGAGAAGCAGCUUCUCCCUCACAGUCUCAGAAAAGCGCAGGUGACGCAGAGGGCUCUUUUUCAUCCCGAAGUCAGCCAGUCCACCUCGCUGAUAUUCUGACGGCCUGAGGUGGUUUUUGGAAACAGUUUGCUGAGCCCUCCCUCACACUAUUGAACUAGAAUCCCCAACUGAGAACCCGGAACCUGCAUCAACUCCCCAAGAUCUCCUGUCCUUGAAACACAUUGAUAGGAUCCAAGGCUCAAGCAGACUGGGGAGGGAGGCUGGGGUCUGCAAAGGAGAAGUGGGAUCCCUGGGGUGGGGAAAGGCACUCAGAGAACAGACACCGGUCCCCUCCCUAGCCAGGCCCAUCUCUCCACUUCAGGUGGGUGGGAGGCCUCUGCGCCGUAGGCCCCUCCAAUUUG
rnacentral:sRNA from 1 species